UACGUAGGGGGCGAGCGUUGUCCGGAGUUACUGGGCGUAAAGGGCGCGCAGGCGGUCUGGUAAGUUUGGAGUGACAGUGCUCGGCUUAACUGAGCAAGGCCUUCGAAAACUGCUAGACUUGAGCACUCAAGAGGGACAUAGAAUUCCGGGUGGAGUGGUGAAAUGCGUAGAUAUCGGGAGGAACACCAGUGGCGAAGGCGGCCUGCUGGGCAGUGGCUGACGCUGAGGCGCGACAGCGUGGGGAGCAAACAGG
rnacentral:rRNA from 1 species